rnacentral:rRNA from 1 species
UGAAUACGAGACGCUAAGGCGUCGAAGUAGUGUAUGUCAUACUUCCAAGAAAAGCUUGCACUGUCAUAGAUAAAAAACGCCUGUACCAUAACCGACACAGGUGGGUAGGUAGAGUAUACUAAGGGGCGCGAGAUAACUCUCUCUAAGGAACUCGGCAAAAUAACUCCGUAACUUCGGGAGAAGGAGUGCCUUAUUCGUAAGGUUGCAAUAACAAGAUCCAAGCAACUGUUUAUCAAAAACACAGGUCUCCGCUAAGUCGUAAGACGAUGUAUGGGGGCUGACGCCUGCCCAGUGCCAGAAGGUUAAAGAAGUUGGUUAGCAAUUGCGAAGCUGAUAACUGAAGCCCUGGUGAACGGCGGCCGUAACGAUAACGGUCCUAAGGUAGCGAAAUUCCUUGUCGGGUAAGUUCCGACCCGCACGAAAGGCGUAAUGAUUUGGAUACUGUCUCGGAGAGGGGCUCGGUGAAAUAGACUUGUCUGUGUAGAUGCGGACUACCUGCACCAGGACAGAAAGACCCUAUGAAGCUUUACUGUAACUUGAAAUUGAAAUUGGACUUUAUUCGCGCAGUAUAGGUGGGAGGCGUUGAUUAUAAUCUUGUGGGAUUAUUGGAGCCAUCAGUGAGAUACCACUCUUGUAAUGUUAGAUUUCUAACUUUGAAUCAUUAUCUGGUCAAAGAACAGUUUCAGGCGGGCAGUUUGACUGGGGCGGUCGCCUCCUAAACGGUAACGGAGGCGUACAAAGGUUUCCUCUGAACGGUUAGAAAUCGUAUCUAGAGUGUAAAGGCAUAAGGAAGCUUGACUGUGAGACCUACAAGUCGAGCAGGGACGAAAGUCGGUCUUAGUGAUCUGACGGUACUGAGUGGAAAGGCCGUCACUCAACGGAUAAAAGUUACUCUAGGAUAACAGGCUGAUCUCCCCCAAGAGUUCACAUCGACGGGGAGGUUAGGCACCUCGAUGUCGGCUCAUCGCAUCCUGGGGCGGUAGUACGUCCCAAGGGUUGGGCUGUUCGCCCAUGAAAGCGGUACGCGAGCUGGGUUCAGAACGUCGUGAGACAGUUCGGUCCAUAUCCGGUGUAGGCGUUAGAAUAUUGAGAGGAGCCUUCUUUAGUACGAGAGGACCGAGAAGGACAUACCUCUGGUGUACCAGUUAUCGUGCCAACGGUAAACGCUGGGUAGCUAUGUAUGGAGUGGAUAACCGCUGAAAGCAUCUAAGUGGGAAGCCCACCUCAAGAUAAGUAUUCUCA